rnacentral:rRNA from 1 species
GACGAACGCUGGCGGCGUGCUUAACACAUGCAAGUCGAACGGAAAGGCCCUGCUUUUGUGGGGUGCUCGAGUGGCGAACGUGUGAGUAACACGUGAGUAACCUGCCCUUGACUUUGGAUAACUUCAGGAAACUGGGGCUAAUACCGGAUAGGAGCUCCUGCUGCAUGGUGGGGGUUGGAAAGUUUCGGCGGUUGGGGAUGGACUCGCGGCUUAUCAGCUUGUUGGUGGGGUAGUGGCUUACCAAGGCGUUGACGGGUAGCCGGCCUGAGAGGGUGACCGGCCACAUUGGGACUGAGAUACGGCCCAGACUCCUACGGGAGGCAGCAGUGGGGAAUAUUGCACGAUGGGCGGAAGCCUGAUGCAGCAACGCCGCGUGCGGGAUGACGGCCUUCGGGUUGUAAACCGCUUUCGCCUGUGACGAAGCGUGAGUGACGGUAAUGGGUAAAGAAGCACCGGCUAACUACGUG